rnacentral:rRNA from 1 species
GAUGAACGCUGGCGGCGUGCUUAACACAUGCAAGUCGAACGGUGAAGCAGAGCUUGCUCUGUGGAUCAGUGGCGAACGGGUGAGUAACACGUGAGCAACCUGCCCCUGACUCUGGGAUAAGCGCUGGAAACGGCGUCUAAUACUGGAUGUGAGCUGCGACCGCAUGGUCAGCAGUUGGAAAGAUUUUUCGGUCUGGGAUAGGCUCACGGCCUAUCAGCUUGUUGGUGAGGUAAUGGCUCACCAAGGCGUCGACGGGUAGCCGGCCUGAGAGGGUGACCGGGCCAAAUGGGGAUGGAGACACGGCCCAGCCUCCGAGGGGGGGAAGCGGGGGGAAUAAUUGAACAAGGGCGGAAAGCUUGAUGCAGCAACGCGGGGGGGGGGAGGACGGCUUGCGGGUUGUAAACCUCUUUAGGCGGGGAAGAAGGGAAAGUGACGGUCCCUGAAAAAAAAGCGCCGGCUAACUACGGG